AACGCACGAGACCUGCGGACCUGCGGAAGGAUCAUUAACACAAUGAUAAUCCUAAACUCUUGCGCAUGCCGGCAACGGCGUGCGCAAGAACCACCGAUUGGAAAACGUUAAAGUCUUCCACCAGCAUCCAGCUUCGGCUGACGUGCUUGUGUGGCAAGUACUUUGAGUCUCAUCUCUCGCGUUGCUUGCAGCGCGAGGGCUUGAAACCACACCAAAAGAAAAAAAAACAUCACCUAUCUA
rnacentral:misc_RNA from 1 species